GAUGAACGCUGGCGGCGUGCCUAAUACAUGCAAGUCGAGCGAACAGACGAGGAGCUUGCUCCUCUGACGUUAGCGGCGGACGGGUGAGUAACACGUGGAUAACCUACCUAUAAGACUGGGAUAACUUCGGGAAACCGGAGCUAAUACCGGAUAAUAUAUUGAACCGCAUGGUUCAAUAGUGAAAGACGGUUUUGCUGUCACUUAUAGAUGGAUCCGCGCCGCAUUAGCUAGUUGGUAAGGUAACGGCUUACCAAGGCAACGAUGCGUAGCCGACCUGAGAGGGUAAUCGGCCACACUGGAACUGAGACACGGUCCAGACUCCUACGGGAGGCAGCAGUAGGAAAUCUUCCGCAAUGGGCGAAAGCCUGACGGAGCAACGCCGGGUGGGUGAGGAAGGUCUUCGGAUCGUAAAACUCUGUUAUUAGGGAAGAACAAAUGUGUAAGUAACUAUGCACGUCUUGACGGUACCUAAUCAGAAAGCCACGGCUAACUACGU
rnacentral:rRNA from 1 species